AGACAUGUUGCUUUUUCUUAUUUUACCUUUUAUACCAACAGUUAUACCAGCUCGUCCUGGGUUUAUUGAUACUGGCAAUGUAGAAUGGAGAGAUUGUGGUAACCCAGCAGACACUUGGGUGUCCAUUAGUGAUUUUGAUGUCACCCCUAAACCAGUUCCUAUGUCCGGUGAUAUGUAUGUUCUAUUGACGACCGAACUAAAGCAUCAGUUGAACUCAGCCGUCAGCAUAGAUGCUCUUUGGGAGAUGGACAUACAGGGAAACUACACUGCAAUUUUUUGCAAACAGAACUCUGGAACAUGUCAGUUUGGUGAUAUAUGUAAUUUUUUGACCAGCUUGAGCUCCCUUGUGUGGCCAUCAGGGUGCCCAAAGCAGUUAGCUGAUAAUGGUCUA